rnacentral:rRNA from 1 species
AGUCGAACGAAUCCCUCAUAGCAAUAUGAGGGGGAAGUGGCGAAAGGGGCAGUAAUGUAUGGGUAACGUACCCGGGGGUCGUGGAUAGCCUUCCUAACGGAUGGGUAAUACACGGCGAUUCGGCGAGGGGACACUCCUCUUGCCGGGAAAGAAUUUCGCCUCCCGGAGCGGCUCAUAUCGUAUUAGCUAGUUGGUGAGGUAACGGCUCACCAAGGCGAAGAUGCGUAGCGGGUGUGAGAGCACGACCCGCACCACUGGCAGUGAGACAUUGGCCAGACACCUACGGGUGGCUGCAGUCGAGGAUCUUCGGCAAUGGGCGAAAGCCUGACCGAGCGACGCCGCGUGGACGAUGAAGGCCUUCGUGUUGUAAAGUCCUGUCGAGGGGGAUCAAGGGCAACUCGAGUGAUCCCUGGAGGAAGCACGGGCUAAGUUCGUGCCAGCAGCCGCGGUAAGACGAACCGUGCAAACGUUAUUCGGAAUCACUGGGCAUAAAGGGCGCGUAGGCGGCUUUCUAAGUCAGGGGUGAAAUCCAGCAGCUCAACUGUCGCAGUGCCUUUGAUACAGGGAAGCUCGAGGGAUGUCGGGGGUCUGUGGAACUUCCGGUGGAGCGGUGAAAUGCGUUGAUAUCGGAAGGAACGCCGGUGGCGAAAGCGACGGACUGGACAUUUUCUGACGCUGAGGCGCGAAAGCCAGGGG